UUCUAUUUUUAACAGGAGGCUAUUAAAGCUCUUCAAUCGAAACCUUUGAUCUCUUUUAUGGAGUUGAAGUUGUGGAGGCGGUGAAUACUGAUUUUUACAUGCUGGAUGAUGAGACAAAGUGGAAAGUGAUGCCUCCCAUGCCAAAAUAGAACUCACACAUUGAAUUUGCUUGGGUGCUUGUGAACAAUCCUAUAGUUAUUGUUGGAGGC